UCACUUCAUCCUUAAAAGAUAUACAGAAUGAUAUGGUUUUAUUUAGGGCUUAUCAGCUUGUCACAGGGCUUUUUCCAGAAAGGCACUGUACAGAGGGUUCAUGGAUUUGUGCUGCAUGGACUGAGGAGGGGGCCUCAUUGUGUUGGAAAUCGCUCUUGACAUGCCACGGUAAAAUGGCAGAAUAUUGCUGACCUCUGUAAUUUACUUUCAUCUACCCAAUACAUAAUCCCUGGAUUGUCUUAUUGAGUCAUUGCAAUGGCAAUUUGGAUUGCUCAUCAACACUUCUGUCUCUCCUGAGCUGUGAUUAUUGUCUAUGAGAACCAUCAAUGUAUUUUUGGAAGAUG